UGCAAGUCGAGCGAGGACUUCGGUCCUAGCGGCGGACGGGUUAGUAACGCGUGGGAACGUGCCCCUUUCUUCGGAAUAGCCUCGGGAAACUGGGAGUAAUGCCGGAUACGCCGGAUCAUCGCGAGAUGGUUCGGGAAAGAUUUAUCGGAGAGGGAUCGGCCCGCGUUGGAUUAGGUAGUUGGUGGGGUAAUGGCCUACCAAGCCGACGAUCCAUAGCUGGUUUGAGAGGAUGAUCAGCAACACUGGGACUGAGACACGGCCCAGACUCCUACGGGAGGCAGCAGUGGGGAAUCUUGGACAAUGGGGGCAACCCUGAUCCAGCCAUGCCGCGUGAGCGAUGAAGGCCUUAGGGUUGUAAAGCUCUUUCAGCGGGGAAGAUAAUGACGGUACCCGCAGAAGAAGCCCCGGCUAACUCCGUGCCAGCAGCCGCGGUAAUACGGAGGGGGCUAGCGUUGUUCGGAAUUACUGGGCGUAAAGCGCACGUAGGCGGAUCAGUCAGUUAGGGGUGAAAGCCCAGGGCUCAACCCUGGAACUGCCUUUAAUACUGCUGGUCUGGAGGUCGAGAGAGGUGAGUGGAAUUCCGAGUGUAGAGGUGAAAUUCGUAGAUAUUCGGAGGAACACCAGUGGCGAAGGCGGCUCACUGG
rnacentral:rRNA from 1 species